GAUGAACGCUGGCGGCGUGCCUAAUACAUGCAAGUCGAGCGAACAGACAAGGGGCUUGCUCCUCUGACGUUAGCGGCGGACGGGUGAGUAACACGUGGAUAACCUACCUAUAAGACUGGGAUAACUUCGGGAAACCGGAGCUAAUACCGGAUAAUAUAUUGAACCGCAUGGUUCAAUAGUGAAAGACGGUUUUGCUGUCACUUAUAGAUGGAUCCGCGCCGCAUUAGCUAGUUGGUAAGGUAACGGCUUACCAAGGCAACGAUGCGUAGCCGACCUGAGAGGGUGAUCGGCCACACUGGAACUGAGACACGGUCCAGACUCCUACGGGAGGCAGCAGUAGGGAAUCUUCCGCAAUGGGCGAAAGCCUGACGGAGCAACGCCGCGUGAAUGAUGAAGGUCUUCGGAUCGUAAAACUCUGUUAUUAGGGAAGAACAAAUGUGUAAGUAACUAUGCACGUCUUGACGGUACCUAAUCAGAAAGCCACGGCUAACUACGUG
rnacentral:rRNA from 1 species